rnacentral:lncRNA from 1 species
UCAAGUCGAUCUGGCGGCAUAAUCCACAAACUGGCUUAACCAUCCGGCGGCGAAAUCGUCGCACACGCCACGUCAAUGGUUCAAGCCCCGGGCGGUGAUCUCGGCGCACUCACCUCCCAAUCCAUCCUUGGUAUCAACCUCGGCGGCGAAAUCGUCGCACACGCCCUAGCCUUGAUACCAAGGUUAGCAUAGCACAAGUCCUGGGAUUCCGGAAUCCACUUCCACAGGUCGAGGGUCCAUAGCCAACCCUAUGCUGUCGACCUAAAACAUCCUAGUGGUUGCUACCACUAUACUCAACAACCUAGGUUUAAUGCCACUCUAGGUUUACUAUUCCACAGCCUAGGUUAUAAAACUCUAGGUUUACUAGUUCAACCUAUGUUCACAAACACUAGGUUCCACAUCACUAUGUCCGAC